rnacentral:tRNA from 1 species
GACGAGAUGGCGGACCUCGCUGCGGCCCUCGACCUGCAGACCGUUCGGCCCAUAAUCCUUGAACCGG